rnacentral:rRNA from 1 species
CAAGACCUUGCGCUUUUGGAGCGGCCGAUGUCUGAUUAGCUAGUUGGUGAGGUAAAGGCUUACCAAGGCUUCGAUCAGUAGCUGGUCUGAGAGGACGACCAGCCACACUGGGACUGAGACACGGCCCAGACUCUUACGGGAGGCAGCAGUGGGGAAUUUUGGACAAUGGGGGCAACCCUGAUCCAGCCAUGCCGCGUGAGUGAAGAGGGCCUUCGGGUUGUAAAGCUCUUUCAGCCGGAACGAAACGGUCACGGUUAAUAACCGUGAUCACUGACGGUACCGGAAGAAGAAGCACCGGCUAACUACGUGCCAGCAGCCGCGGUAAUACGUAGGGUGCGAGCGUUAAUCGGAAUUACUGGGCGUAAAGCGUGCGCAGGCGGUUUUGUAAGUCAGAUGUGAAAUCCCCGGGCUUAACCUGGGAACUG